UUGGAUUCGCAUCAAUCUGGCAGCUUCCUGUCCUCUUCGUCUCCUGAGCCAAGCCACAAGCGUACCCUGUCCACCCUCCAACGUAAGCCACUGCGCAUCGAACUUGUUUACUGUAACCUGAGCUCCACAGAACAGUACCAAGUGAACUCUCUACGGAUAUACCUGCUUAAGACCUGGAUCUUGAAUCUCAUUCCCCUUGGCGACCUGACCACCAUAACUCAUGAGAUAUUUUGUCCAUUCCAUUCCUGACUAUAUCUUCAAUAAACAACCUUUAUUUUACUUCAUCCUCCUGAUAUGUGGGUCCGAGCUAUUUCGAACAUAAUGACAAGAAGAACCCAAAGACACCCACAAAUCAUGACACACAUGUUUGUUGUGUCCCAUAUGCCUUGUGGCAAACGUAAACAGGCCCCUUUUUUUUUUUUUUUUUUUUUCUGACCACUGUUCACUGAAGACCAGAUGUCCACAGAUUCUCCCACUUGAGCUGUGGGUCCUUGCAGCUCAUCUAGAGUAGCCAUGAGUCUCUCAGCUGCUUCUUUGAUUAAUGCUCUAACUGCCUGGCCUGUCAGAUUAGGUGGAAGGCCGUGUUUUGGUAGGUUUGCACCUGUGUUUGGUUUUUAUUUUUUGAUAGAUUGAACAGUGUUCUCUUAUAUCUUGGAGCAUUGAUUUAUAAUUUACCCUGCUUUGAAGUUGGUUGUCUUGCUGUUUGGUCAUUAAUGUCCUCUAACAAAUCCUCUGGGGCCUUCACAGAAGAUUGAUUUUAUACUAAGACUAAAUUACUCACAGGUGGACACUAUUUACCCAUUAGAUGGGAUUGUAAUGUGAAAAAACAGGGAGGAAUAGUGUUGUGAGGCACAGUAUUGCUUCCAAAACCCCACACAAUCCUAUAACUGGGUGAACCUUCAGAAAGCAACAACAACUAUUGACCAAGACCACUUUAAAAGAUCACAAGAAAGCCUAGCUUUUAAGAAAAUUUGGGAAUAACUUAAGAAUUUUGCACAGUGCUGUCGGUUCUACUAGAUUUAACCUUGUAUGAAAAGUGACACACUUGUUGGAAGAUCAUGGUAAUAUUAAAAGCCUUCUCUGUGAUGUGUUAUGAUCACUCUCACUGCCGUCACCUUAUUUUAUUUCCGCCUUAGUGACCUUCAUUCAACAGUGCGUCCUGCUGACAUGAAGGUUCCUCUCACCUCUCUGCACAGAUGAUGGACGCUCUACAUGUCCUCUUUCACCCGUCUCAAACACACCAGUGAGGCAGACAUCUCUGUCGGGGGUUAGAGACCCGCGGCGCCCUGCGAUAAGGACGGUCAUUGCCAUGAUCUUCCUUUUCUCUCUCGAAAAGUGAUUGCAAGGCUGUUCAAUUAUUUACACUGUUGAAUAAUGUCGCUCUCCAUCUUUAUCCGAGCUGAUCCUGACCUGUGAUCCUUAUCUGAAGGCUGAGUAAUGGGGGAAUCAAUGGGAGGUGGCAGGAUUUCAAUUGUCUGUCUGUGAUGUUGUUUGUAGAUUCGUAAGCUGAACAACAUUGCAGGUUAGGGUAAGAGUAAAUCUGGGGUAACAUGUUCUCAGUUAAUCCAUUUAUGGGACAGCAAAUUUAUGGGCAACUGAAACAUCUUAUUAAAAGCUGAAAUUACUUUGCUAAUAAAAAUAAAUAAAAUCUU